rnacentral:lncRNA from 1 species
CACCACAUCAAUUAGAUAUCUAGAUUAGCAUAGCUACAUAGGAUUAGAACUAGAAGGAGUCAAUCUUUGAUUGGUUUCCGGAUCUGUCAAGAGGAUUCUUGGUAAUUCUCUAAUUGUUCUUCUAAUUAUCUUUGUUCUUCAAUAUUAUGAAUAUGACUUUGUUCUACUUCAAUAUAUUGCUUAUGACUUUGCUCUACUUGUUUAUAUUCAAGAUUAUAUUGUUCUUAGUUUAUCAUAGUUAUGUACUUGGCUUAGUUAGAUUGGAUCUAUAUACAUGCUUUGGAUCGUAUAGCGUUUAUCCAUCAGAUCCAUGGGUAAAUGAUAGAUAUUGUGUAGGCGUGGUGCUUAUACCGUAUUUAUCUUCCAUAUGCACUUCCCCUGAGAGAAGGUACGCCAUUAUUUUACUGACCCUAACUAUAUCGUUGAAGAAUCUAAGCAGGUGAGGAAACGACGCAACCGCAACCAGAUGAGGCAAAUCAUCAAGGACGGAUGGGCAGACUAUGAAGGAGAAGUUGUAAGGUCAGAAGACGUAGAGUUUAAAGAGAACUAUCCAGAGGAGACUGAAGCACCGAGUCAGGUAUGGAAAGAGAAGAUAAUUACAUAAAGAGGAGGCGCUGCCGGAAGUACCGACUCCGCCACCCAACGAACCUCAGGACAAUUGAGAAAAUGGAGAGUCCCAUUCGGAGGACUUAAAAACACCGAACGCCUUGCCAAGACGUAAACUUGGUAGUUAUCCUUUCCCUUUCAAUUAUUUAAAAUAGUUUGCUUAGUUACUUAUGUUCAUGCUAUCCUAAAAAGAAAAUAAAAAUGUGAAAAACAGUAAGCCCCAUGUGAGUAGACGAGUGGCAUAAAACCCAUAAGUACAUUCACUGUGGUGGCAUAAAAAUAAAAUAAAUAUUUCAUUUCUGCUUUAUAAAAUGAAAAUAUAAAAACAGGGAGUAAUAUUUAUUGAGGAGUCUCAACAUGAUAAAGGCUAGAUAUUUAUGCUAACACUUAAUCAGUUCCACAAGCUUUGUUGUCUAUUUGAGCUCCACAGAAUUCAAGAAUCAAGAAGACU